rnacentral:rRNA from 1 species
UACGGAGGGAACUAGCGUUGUUCGGAAUUACUGGGCGUAAAGGGCGCGUAGGCGGUUUAGUAAGUUAAAAGUGAAAGCCCGGGGCUUAACUCCGGAACUGCUUCUAAAACUAUUAAACUAGAGUGCGGGAGAGGAUAAUGGAAUUCCUAGUGUAGAGGUGAAAUUCUUAGAUAUUAGGAGGAACACCAGUGGCGAAAGCGAUUAUCUGGAACGCAACUGACGCUGAGGCGCGAAAGCGUGGGGAGCAAACAGGAUUAGAAC